AAUCCCUUAUCGAGGAUCAAUUGGAGGGCAAGUCUGGUGCCAGCAGCCGCGGUAAUUCCAGCUCCAAUAGCGUAUAUUAAAGUUGUUGCAGUUAAAAAGCUCGUAGUUGGAUUUGUGGUUUACGCAAGGCUUCCGUCCCUCUUGGGUUUCGGUGUUGCCUGGCGUUGCCAUCCUUGGGUGGAAUCCGUGUGGCAUUAGGUUGUCGUGCAGGGGAUGCCCAUCGUUUACUGUGAAAAAAUUAGAGUGUUCAAAGCAGGCUUAUGCCGUUGAAUAUGUUAGCAUGGAAUAAUAAUAUAGGACCUUGGUACUAUUUUGUUGGUUUGCGCACCGAGGUAAUGAUUAACAGGGUCAACUGGGGAUAUUCGUAUUCCGCUGUCAGAGGUGAAAUUCUUGGAUUUUUGGAAGACGAACUACUGCGAAAGCAUUUAUCAAGGAUGUUUUCAUUAAUCAAGAACGAAAGUUAGGGGAUCGAAGAUGAUUAGAUACCAUCGUAGUCUUAACCAUAAACUAUGCCGACAAGGGAUUGGUGGAGUAUCGUUACGUCUCCAUCAGCACCUUAUGAGAAAUCAAAAGUCUUUGGGUUCCGGGGGGAGUAUGGUCGCAAGGCUGAAACUUAAAGAAAUUGACGGAAGGGCACCACCAGGAGUGGAGCCUGCGGCUUAAUUUGACCCAACACGGGAAAACUUACCAGGUCCAGACAUAGUGAGGAUUGACAGAUUGAGAGCUCAUUCUUGAUUCUAUGGGUGGUGGUGCAUGGCCGUUCUUAGUUGGUGGAGUGAUUCGUCUGGUUUAUUCCGUUAACGAACGAGACCCCUGCCUGCUAAAUAGCCCAGUGAGUGAUUUUUCACUGACUGUUGGCUUCUUAGAGGGACGUGCAUUCUAUUAGAUGCAGGAAGAUAGGGGCAAUAACAGGUCUGUGAUGCCCUUAGAUGUCCUGGGCCGCACGCGCGCUACACUGAUGAAUUCAACGAGUUUUUUCCUUGGCCGAGAGGCCUGGGCAAUCUUUUGAACGUUCAUCGUGAUAGGGAUAGAUUAUUGCAAUUAUUAAUCUUGAACGAGGAAUUCCUAGUAAACGCAGAUCAUCAAUCUGCAUUGAUUACGUCCCUGCCCUUUGUACACACCGCCCGUCGCACCUACCGAUUGAAUGGUCCGGUGAAGCCUCGGGAUUGUGGUCAGUUUGCUUUAUUGCGAGUUGAUUGCGAGAACUUGUCUAAACCUUAUCAUUUAGAGGAAGGUGAAGUC
rnacentral:rRNA from 1 species